rnacentral:lncRNA from 1 species
UUUUCUCCUUUCCUUUGGCUUAUCUUUCCUUGCACUGGAAUGCUAGGAAAGGAAGAACUUUGAUACUAGCUUCGAGGUAACCAAUAUGCUCAGCUUGACUGAUCUAGGAAAAAUGAGACUUUUAUGUGGUCCAGUCCUUCUCACCAAGAGGCUAGACUAAGAUUUGAGGCAAAAGCCUUAUAGUAAUAGCACACAUUUCCUUUGCCUUCUCCUCUAUGCAGGUACUUUAGGAACUUCACUAAGAAGGGGAGAAAUUUUGACAGAAUAAGAUUAAACUGUUUGAAGCUUAGGUCCUGUUUCUUUUUUAAUCUGAAGAGCAGAGAAAUUAUAAGAUAGUCACAAAGUCUGAAAACAUAAACAAAUGUAGCUAACAAGUAGUUUAUUGCUAUUACAUUAUUUUAGAUGACAUGAUCAAUAACAUGUUUUCAGACUUUAUAGCCACACCCUGUCCUUAUAAUAAGGCCUUCUGAUGUUCUCACUUAUAAGUGGGAGCUAAACACUGCAUACUUGUGGAUAUAACGAUGGCAAUAAUAACCACUAGGAACUAUUAGAGGGGGGAAGGAGGGAGGGGUAAUAGGGUUGAAAUCUAACCAUUGCGCACUAUGCUCACAACCUGGGUGAUGGUAUCAAUCAAACCCAAAACCUCAGCAUCACACAAUAUACCCAUGUAACAAAUGUGCACACGUACCCUCUGAAUUUAAAUUAAAAGUGGAAAUUAUAAUUUUUUAAAAUGCCUUCUGCAUAAUCGGCUUCUUUAAGACCCAUUAGGUCAGAGGCAUCAAAUGCAUAGGUUACUAUUUGCUAUGGUCCAAAUGUUUGUGUGUAUCCUAAACUCAUAUGUUUAAAUAUUAACCCCCAAUGUGAUAAUUUUAAGUGACAGGACCUUUGUAAGGUGACUGGUUCAUGACAGCAGAGUCCUCAUGAAUGGAAUUAGUGCCCUUAAAAAAGAAGCCUGAAGGAGGUAGCCCCUUCUGUCAUAGGAGGAGACAAAAAGAAGAUGCCGCCUGUGAACAAGAAUCUAACCGAAUCUGUUAGCACCUUGAUCUUGGACUUUCCUGCCUCCAGAACUGUAAGAAAUAAAUUUCCAUUGUUUAUAAGACACUCAACUUAUGGUAUUUUGUUAUAACAGCCAAAACAGAGUAAGACAUUGCAGCUUGAGCCAACUAAGACACUAUUUAACACCCCUUUGACAAACGUUUCACUUGUCCAAUCUUUGCUUCACAUCCCUGCACAUGUUCUAAACAAUGACAUUAAAUAAAAAUGCUACUGAGGUACAAGCUUUAAAUUCUGAAAUAACAUUGAACAUAGUAAAUGAUUUUAUUGCUAUUAGGUUAUCUUGAAACCCUAAAAUGUAACAACUACAAGAUUUUGCUGGAGAUAGGAUUGCCAAAUAAAACAUAGGACACUUGGGUAAUUUUGAAUUUCAGAUAAGCAAAUACUUUUUUAGUGUAAGUAUGUGCCAGGUAAUACAUUUUUAAAUAAUACCAUUGGUCACUGUAGUAAGGGCAAGAAAAUAUGGUGAAUCAUAUCCUGGCUUUUAAAGGCAUCCACUCAGAAAUGACACCCAUCAAUUACACUGACAUUUCAUUGCCAAAACAAGUCAAAUGGCCAUGGCCAACCUCAAAAAAGUAGAUAAUUGUGAUCCUAACUGGAAGGAAAGAAACUGGAAUAUAUAGGUAGAGAGCCCUAAUGGCAACCACACACACACAACAUUUUAAUUCACAUUUUAUAAGAAUAAUUACAAAUUAAAAGAUGAGCAUCAAUCAAACACAUUAGAAUGGUUGCUUAUGGGAGUAAGGAGGAAGGAAAUGAAAGUGGAAAUUAGGCUAAAAGUGAAGGAAUAAACAAACAAGAAAUAAGAGAAGGCAUUAUUACUGUCAGUGUACAGGUAGGUAUACUGGGAAUCAAGUUUUUAAUGUGUCAUCAUGACCCCAACCAAUACUUAAACAAGAGCUCAAACUUAAGUAUUCUGACUCCACAUCCCAUUCUCUGUCCCCUAAAUUUCCAGGUCUCAGGGUUACACGCUAUGAUGGAUAAAUAUAAUUGUUUUACAUUGAUAAUAGCUUCCUAUCCACAUGAUAAUUUGAAUAGGAUGUGUCGAGACCCCACAUACCUAAGAUAAAGCUUAUCUUAUUUCUUUUUGAUAAGCAGCAUUAAUAACAUUGUGGAAAAAGCAAGAAGUUAGGAGUCAAAUGAACCUGCAUUCAAAUCCCAGCCUUGUCAAGUAACAGUCUUAUGACUUUUGACAUGCGAUGUUAAUCCCUGAAUAAUUCAUCUUCAUCACUUCACAAAGAACUCUAUCCUUGAACAGCCUGCAGUAUGACUAUAUUGCCAGCAGAAGGGAAACAAGUCAAAGAGCAAAGCAGAAAUGUUCCUAGGAAAGAUUGCUACUUUUCUAUCAAAAAUGUGCAAUGGCAGAGGUCUCAUGAAAUGAAAAAUACAAAUGGUCUAAAAAUAAGUAAACACUAUCUAUCAUGCUAAGCCUUUGUGUAUCAUCCUGCUCAGAGCAAGUAAAAUGUAAAAUCAAUGCUAUUGUUGGAAUAGGGAAAAAUCUCUUGCAGGUGUUGAUGAAAACAGAAAGUCCUCUCUGUCUUUCCACUUACCCACCUUAAGUCUCUAAAGUGUCACCUUGAUGAAAGCUAAAGGGAAAAACAAGAUACAAAAAUAACUCAAAAAUUGCCACCCUCCACCUGCAUCAGUCAUUUGGGAAGAAAAGAAAGUGGGAGACUGAAAAAAAAAAACAGAUUAAAUAGCACAAGAUAAACUGAACCCCAGAAAAAUGGGAAUGUGGAAAUAGAGGUAUGCUUUGAAUUAAAACAAAAGGGAGACUCUGCCCAGAUGAAACCAAAAGGUCAUCAGUUUAGAGUAGGAUUUUUGGUUUCAUGAUAUGUGGCCUAAAAUAAUGAUUAUAGUAAAAGCCAUAUUCAGAAAAAUUGUUUAUAUGAAUUUCUUCUGAUGGCAGUAGGAUUAUACUGUGACACUAGACUGAUUCUGCAACUUAUUCAGUAAACAUGGAUUAAGCUGUGACACCAAAAGAAAUCAAAGGGGCAUAUGCCAGGCCCUGUGCUAGGCACUAGAAAUACAAAGGUGAGUAAGAGAAAGACACCACCCUGAAGAGCCAGCCAUUGGGAAAGGAGGAAUUCUGAAGUCCGGUAAGCUGAUUAUAUAAUAUUUCAAAAGAAUUAUCUAAAGCAGUGGCUCCUCAACUUUAAUGUCCAUAAGAAUCAUUUGUGGAUCCUGUUAAAAGGGGAUCCUGUUAUUCAGAAGAUGGUGACAAGAUCCCCAAUGGUGUUGAUGUUACGUUGUUGGGCUACAUGUUGGGAAGCAAGCCCUAACUCACAAUUGAUUUCAGCUUUUUCUCCAGUGAGCUCUUUUAGCACAUACCCUAAUGGCAUAGGAAUCCAGGAGGGCAUUUAUUUGACUGUGCUGUGUGUGCUACCCGGGAAGUAAGAGUGGAAGUCUCUGUGGCCUGACUCUGUACACCAAGUCAAGGGAGGCUGCUCUCCACUGCUUCUGAAGCCUUAGGAAAUCUACUAAAUCUGCUGCAGCAGCAAAGCAGUUUAGUGAUGAAAAGGAGCCUCUUGAUUGGAAAUCUUGCUAAGGGCUAGAGUAGAUUUUAAAGUAGAUUAUAGAAUUUCCUUACCUGGGAGUCUAAGAAAAAAAAAAGUGCAUAGACUUUUGUCUGCCCUAAAGACGAACAUGGUGACUCGGCUUUUUAAAAACUUACCCUACUCUGAAAGUCUAAGAGAAAGAAAGUUUAUGAAAGUGAAUUUCAGAAUUUGUUCAGUACAUUCCUAUUACAAACAUAAAAAGAGUUGGCCUUUGGUCAAAUUGAGUGUAAAGAUAGUUGGCAUAUUUAAUCAAGAUCCUUCCUCUCUAGGUUGACGCCACAGGAGAAAAAAUAAUCAAAGAUUCUGGUAUGUUGGCAAAGGUAGCAGGAUAAUAACUAGAUAUGAAAAUCAACUUUCUUUAAAAAAAAGUGCUUAUUUAAAUGUUUAUUUGAAGCUUAAAUGACAUAAAAAAAACAGUCAAAGGAAAUCCUUGAGCUUUAAGAAUUAUAGCUUAUAAACCAAAUAUAAUGCAAAUAUAUUCAUGUCUGCUAUGGACCCGACGCUCUCCUACCUGCUGUAAGAGAGCUUAGUCACUUUCCCAUUACCUCCUGUUGUUCUUUGUAUCAAACUUUUACACUUUAACAGCUCUUUCUUCUCAGCCUAAAACAAGCUUAACCUAGCUCUAUCUUAACAAAAUAAAAAUUUCUACCCUGUCCUCAAAUCCCCAUACUGCUUACGUCUCCCCUUUUUCAGUCCUUUCUUAGAAAGUUCAUCCACCUAGAUGUAUUAAUUUUCUCACUUCCUAUUUUUGGUUUUUAAUGCCCCUUUUUUUUCAAGCAGUAGAACACUCUUUUUCAAAUUAAAUCUUUUUUGAAACAUCAACACACACAUACACACAAAGAACAACUUCACUGGUUGAGAGACGGGAUGGAGACCAGAGAACCCUCCUCUCAGUCUUUCAUUUACUCCUGCCUGCCCCGUCAGCCCCUCAGCAACCUCUGAACAAGACCCGAGGCUCUGCCCCACCAACUGCUUCAUCCAUGGAUACCUGCCUUUCCUUCUCUCUAAACCAAGGAAAUGAUCAAAGUACCUAGGAUCUCCUAAAGUCAAUAGGCCCUUUCUGGUCCAUGUCUUGCUUGAUUCUCCAAAGUAUUCAAUACUACAGCCAAAUGUGGAAUUCUUUCUAAUUCCCCUCUAUCUGGUUCUCUCUAGUCAGGGCCUUUGCACAUUCUGUUUUCUCUGUUCUAAUCCCACAUUGACUUUCCAUCUCACCAAGAUUAAAAGCCUAAUUUAUUUUGAUUACGUUUAAUCCCCUACUUAAUCCACAAAAAAGCCCCCUCCUCUCUGCCUUUGUUUUCAUCGGCUCUCUCAAUAUCUCUAGCCAUGCCAGUGGCCUCACCCCUCCUUGACCUCUUCAAGACUCUCCUUCUUGUCUUAUUGGUAUGGCUUGUUUCAUUAGAUCCUUCAGGUAUUUGCUUAAAUGGCACCUUCCUAGGUGCUUCCAUCCUCAUUUCCUGCCUCACUUAUCUUCUUAACACUUGCCAUCAUCUAACAUAUACUCUACUGUACUUGCCUAUUCUUUAUUCUCUAUCUCUUUCCCUAGAAUAUAAGCUUCAUGAAAGCAGGAAUUGAUCUUUGUUUAUUGAGUGGUUUGAGAGUAUGUGCUCAAAGAAAUGCUUGAGAAACUGAAUUAACUGUAUUUGUUAAAUAAAUAAAUGAAUUGAUAAUUAAUGAAUGAAUUGCUGUCUCCUUGCAUGUCUGCUUGAAAAAACCCCUGUAUUAAUACCUCCAGUCCCAUCAGAUCAAAACAACCUCCUUCUUGAAGUUUCCAAUUCCUGAAUCAGGAAGCAUGAAGUUCCCCCUGUUUAUUUUGCCUCUACCAAAGCUGGUAACUCUCAAAAAGGCUUGUUGCUGUGUGACCUUCAUUACUUUGGUGAAUUGGUCUUAGGCUAGGGUCCGCCCUCAGUAUUACCAGUUCAGAAACUGGAUUGGUCAUCACAACAAGGUGAGUUCAUCUCUCAGACAUGGUCUUGAGAUGCUCUUGAGAUCAAUCUUUAAACAUGAACACCAAUUAGAGUAUCAACUCAGCCAGUUUUGUCCAGGACAGUCUUGAUUUUAGCCCUGAAAGUCCAGUGUCUGGAGAAAACCCUCAGUCCCAGGCAAGCCAGCAUGGUUGGUAGCCUUAACACAAAUUUACCUACUGACAAUGAUGAAUAGUUUACACAGAAAUAAGAAUAAUCUAAUUUUUUAGGCAGCACAAUCUUUUCCUACAGGCACACCAUAGGACAUGCCAG